GCUCCUGUGGCCUAGUGGUUAGAGCGUCCGCCUCGAAAGAGGGAGGUCGUGGGUUCUAUCCCCGGUCGAAUCA